rnacentral:lncRNA from 1 species
UUCACAUGCUCAUGGCUGUUCAGAGAUGAAAAGCUUGGAGGUUCCAGGUGUUCAUUAGGAGAUGCAGCAGGUUAUAAACCAUAACUCAGGAAAGAGGAAUAGUGGGGGGCAGCAAGCAGGAGACAACGCAGCACAAAGAAUCCCCAAGAAAGGUGAUCAACAGAUCCAGACCAACAGAGCCAAAGGAGCACAAGCACCUCGGGACUCCAAUCACUUUGCCCUCCUCAGGGAGUAUUAACCAAAAAGGUUACUGCAGGGCCUCACAGAAGUACAUCUACGUGAGUAAAAAUUCUGCAUCACAGCAACUGCAGUGGUGUCACAUCAGACAUGUUUUUGCUCAAAAGAAUUCAAUUAACACCCACAAGGAAGGGAGUGGACACGGACACACACACUUCAAUCAGGAACUCAAUGAUCACAUGCCCACGGUGAGAGAGAAAAAAGGAAACACGACCCCACAGCUUCCUCUGCAUCUCAUUCCAGAAAGAUUUUCAGUGUGA